rnacentral:lncRNA from 1 species
AGCCUUUGUUCGCAGCACUUCAGUAUGCAUUACAGAGCUCCGUGGUGCUUUAAGCAUGGGUUACAAAGUUGCAAAAGAAUACUUGGUGGCAAACUGUCAAGCAAGACCUUAUUUUACAUUUAAUGCCUUGUAGGAAGAAGAGGACACAAGAGGAAUCUUUGGAGAAGACAGGAGAGUUCAGUUGUUGUGAAAAGCAAGGAAUCCAUGCCUUCCAUUGCUGGGGAUCUCCAAGUCACUUGCUGGUUUUGCUGAGCCAGGUCUGGGUGCCAUCCUUAAAUGGAAGAGAAUAUUUACAAAAGAAAAUACAUUCUUCAGGUGGGUAUUUUGUAAUGUACUCCUGAGAGCUGUCGUAGAGAUAAGUUUCAUAAUGGGUCCUUUUAGCAUGAGCUCUGAACCUUCCAUCUGACCCUUCGAAUUGAAUCAUUAAUCUGUGGUCCAGACUCAAACCUCCUGUGUUUCUUAUAACUAAUAAUCUUAUUUCCUUCAUGUUAGUCUAACUUCUGUUUGAAACAGAUGCUUUUAUAAUUGGAUCCCUGGUACUUAGUGGUCUACAAAAUAUGCAUUGAUCCAUGCAUGACCUUCUUUGUUAUUUUCAAUGAAGAUAAAACUCCUGAAACUCCCCCUCCCCCACUGCCAAAAAAAACACUAGGACCUUAACAAGAAAUUAAAACAUAUAUAUCUACCUUAUAAAUCCACAUUCAUCUGAUUUCCCUCCUUCUCCCAAGCCAAAGUGAACCAUCGUCCCAAGUUAUGUGAUUAAUAUUCCCUCGCAUUCUUUUCUAUAGGAUCUUAUCAAACUUCUUUGUGUGGGCUAGGGAUAUAACUCAGUUGGUAGAGUGCUUGCCUUGCAUGCACAAGGCCCGGGGUUCAAUCCCCAGCACAACAAGAAGCAAAAUAAAAAUAAAAAAGUCUUCUUUGUGUUAUACAUAUUUCAAAAAGUAUGUGUAUGCAUACAUGUUGUUUUAACUUUAUAAAAAUAAAAAAUAUAAUUAUAGGGCUUAUAUUGGCAAGAUACACCCUGGUGAUGCUUGUGGCAGGCAUUUGGAUUGGGCUUUCUAUAAUAUUUUAUUAUAUGAAUAUAUCAGAAUUGAUUUACCAACACUACCUUUCCUGGUUGUCUGGGUUACUCAUAAGUUCUUGAUAUUAUGAACUGUGCUUUUAUGAACAUUCUUACAUUUAUGCAGUUUUAUCCAUGUGCAAUCUAGGAGUGAAAUUGUUAGGUUAAGGGUUAUAUUCAACUUUAGGGGAGAGUGUCAAACUAUUUUUUUAAAUUUUUUUAUUGGUGCAUUAUAGUUUUAUCUAACAGAUUAUGUAUACAUGGAAUAUAAUUUUCCCAUUUCAUUCCCCAGUACUUCCUCUUUCCUUCCCCUCCUCCCUCACCUUUUAUCCUUCCUCUACUCUGCUGGCCUUCCUUUUCUUAUUGCUUCUUUUUAAGUUGGUGCUGUAUAGCUAUACAGAAAGGUGGAAUUCACUGUGGUAUAUUUGUAUGUAUUUAUACCAUAAUUUGGUCAAAUGUAUUCCAAAGUUCUUCCCUUUUCAUGUGCCUCCUCCCUCCCCCUCUACUCCACUGAUAUAUUUUCCUGGGAUCCACUCUCCUUUUUAAUUUUUUUUUUUUCUUAUUGUGCUCUAGCUUCCACAUAUGAGAAAAAAAUUAAAAAAUGGCCCUUGACUUUCUGAGCCUGGCUUAUUUCACUUAACAUGAUGUUCUCCAAUUUCAUCCAUUCAUUCAAUUACCAGUAAAUGCCAUCAUUUCAUUCUCCUUUAUAGCUGAGUAAAACUUGCUUGCAUAGAUAUACCACAUUUUCUUCAUUUAUUCAUGUGUUGACAGGCACAUGGGCUGGUUCCAUAACUAAGUUAUUGUGAAUUGUGUUGCAAUAAAUGUUGAUGUAGCUGAAUACCUAUAGUGUGCUGAUUUUAGAUCUUUUGGAUAAAUAUCAAGGAGUAAGAUAACUGGAUCAUCUGCUGAUUCCUUUGAGGAAUAUCCAUUGUGCUUUCCAAAGUGCUUGUACUAAUUCGAAGUCCCACUGACAAUGUCUGAGUGUACUUUUCCCCACCAGGUGCAUGGAGCCUGGUGGAGGAAGUGUGUUCCCGGGAAGUGUGUGUAGAGGGCCAGUGAGAUUUUGGGAAUAAAGGUUGCUGUUUGAACCUACAAGGCUGUGUUAUUUUGUGCCCAGCCAGACUGCGGCAGGGUACAUGGGAAUUUAUGGUAUAAUUUUUCCCCUAUGGCUGGGAACUGAACCUAGGACCUCAUACUCUACGUAAGCACUACUAUGCUCUAACACUGAGUCUCACUGUACAGCCCUGUAUAAUGUUUAUAUAAGUUUGAAAAUUAUAAUAUGCAGGUUGAGGGGGGUUGAUGUAAAAUGAAAUUUUUUUAUAAAAAAUGCUGAAAGCAUAUUCCUAUCAGUAACAACCAAAACUAAACAUUGUCUAAAGCUAUGAAAUUUUCUGGUAAAAGCUACUGAAACUUUUUUGUUUUAAUGAAUAUCCAAACUGACUAAUGUUGGCCAGUGUUUCAUUCUGGAAAACUAAUUUGAUAAAUGAGCAUUCAUAAAUUAAUUCCUGGGCUAUUAAGCCUUGAAGAAGAGAAUGCAGUCCUAGCAGGGGGAAAAAAAUAGAUGUGAGAAAGAGGAAGCAACAGAAUUUAGCUGGAAUUCUGCAACCCGGAGAGGGAGAAGGAAUAUGGAGAUUGGCAGGGCCCAGUCCUAGGUCAGUUAUAGCCAUGGUAGGGUUUUAUAAUACUUGGAAGUUGUAUUAUGAGGAUUUUUUUUCCUGAUUGUAAGCAUAAUGUGAUAUAAACAAAUUUGGACUAAGGAAAAGAAAAUGAAAACUAUAAUCCUGUCACUCACAUUUUUAUGAGACAUGCUAAUAAGAAUUUUUCUUGAUACUUUACUUUUUCUUCUGAAGGAUUGAAAGUCUUGAUAUGAUGACCAGUAGGUGACUGCCUGACCCCAGUCAAGGACCUUUCCAGAUAGUACCUUUGUCCACGCUGGAUCACCUACCAAUAUUGACCAUUAUUCUUUUUUUGAAAAAAAUAUUUAUUCUAAUUUAUUAUACAUAACAGCAGAAUGGAUUUCAAUUUAUAGUACACAUACAGAGCACAGUUUUCCAUGUCUCUGGUUGUAUAUGAAAUAGAGUCACACCAUUCGUGUCUUCAUACAUGUACUUAGGGUAAUGAUGUACAUCUCAUUUCACCGUCUUUCCUACCUGCAUGCUCCCUCCCUUCCUAUCCCUUCCCUUUGCCCUAUCUGAAGUUUCUCCAUUUAUACCAUGCUCCUCCUCACACCCUCAUUAUGGAUCAGCAUCCACAUAUCAGAGAAAACAUUUGGCCUUGGGGGUUGGCUUAUUUCACUUAGCAUGAUUUUCUUAUCUUUAAAAAAGAAAAUUACAGUAGUCCCUUUUAUCCACAUGGGGUAGGUUCCAAGACACCAGCAAAUGCCUGAAAACACACAAAAUUUUUUAUAAAAAAUGCUGAAAGCAUAUUCCUAUCAAUAACAAUCAAAACUAAACAUUGCCUAAAGCUAUGAAAGCUAUCUAUUGCUUUUUCUAUUCAUACAUGUAUACCUAUGAUAAAGUUUGUAAAUUAGGCACAGUAAGAGAAUAACAGCAAUAAUUAAUAAUAAAAUAUGACAGUUACAGCAAUAUACUAUAUAUGCAAAUGCUCACGCGCUCUCUCUCUCUCUCUCUCUCUCUCUCUCUCUCUUUGAAUGGAAUUUUAGUUAACUGAAACAGCAGACAUCAGAAUGCUGGAUAAGAGGGGUUUGUGAUUGUUAGAAAAUAUGAUGAGGAGAUAAAUAAAUAAAUGUGUGUAUGUAAUUUUUUACUAGACAGGUAUCAUUUCCAGCACUUUAGUGUGUAUCCUAGACUUUUCUUCUGUCAUUACUCACAUGGAUAUUAUGGAAUCUUCUCAUAGAGUAUAUUCUAGUUUGUAAGUUUUCUGCCUAACACUACAUAUAAUUCAUCAAUGUUAUAAAUGUUCAUCUACUUUAAUGUUUGAGUGGUACAGAAUAUUGCAUCAUGUGAGCAAUGUCUAAACUGCAUUUCAAAUGUGCAUCACAGUCACCAACCAAUCACAGUGGAUGCUGGCUAGUGCUCUCAUACACUGUCAUUGACCAGGUCUUCACUGAGCCAAUCGCACUUUGGUGACUUUUACAUUGUUUUUAUUUGUUCCCAACCAGUUGCAAGAAUGAAGUGAAUAUCUUAUAUACUAAACCUUUGUGCACAGCAUGAUCAUUGUGUAAGGAAACGUUUUAAUAAGUUUAAAAAUUCUUUUUUUUUAUAUAUAUUUGAACACACAAGUUUAUUUACCUGUUAAUACAAAGAUUUCUGAAAUGAUUUUUUCUAAAUUUUUAUUGUUGGUUGUUCAAAACAUUACAUAAUUCUUGAUAUAUCAUAUUUCACACUUUGAUUCAAGUGGGUUAACCAAAGGAAUUUCCAUGUUUUAACUUUUAUAAUUUAUUUAACCAAAUUGUUCUCCAAGGUUUUAUUAAUUUACAUUGACAUUGGUAGGAAACAAAAGUCCAUUUUCCACACUCUCUGAGAGUACUACCAUCAAUAUUCUAAGUUCAAAUAACAUUUCACUAAUUCAGUUUGCAUUUCUUCUAUUACAAUUGAGAUAAAAUUUUCCAUGUUUCUUGGUCAUUUUUGUUUGUUUGUGUGGGCUGUCUUUUGGUAUUCUUUCUCCUUUUGUCCACCAAGUGUCUUUUCUCUUAUUUAUUUGCAAGAAGUGUGUCUAUUGAGAGCAUUGUCUUCAUUAAAGCUGCAAGCUUUUUUUUUUAUAAAUUUCUCUUUUGUCUUUUUUUUCUAUAACUUUGUCUUUUAGAUUCUUAAAAAUGUUAUGUUGUUAAUCUUUCAGUAUUUUUAAAUUCUCUUUUUGUUUGAGUGCAUAUAUAAAUAUAUAUAUCAUCCAAUUUUACUUUUGACAUUAUUUUUUUCAUUCUCUUUAUCUAAAUCUUGGUUCCACUGAGAAUUUAUGUUAGUAUGAGAUACAAUGCAGGGAUCUAACCUUCUUCGAAUUGGUGAGCUUAGUGGUCAAAUAACAUUUAUUGAAAAUAUUCUCUUUGCCUCCUGAUUUUAAUUGGCACCUUUGUCUUAUAUUGUACAUCUGUUUGCAGCUAGAUAUAUUAUUGUUAUUUCAAUUCUAUUUCUAUGUUGAUUAUUCUUGCAAUCAUAUUUUUAUCAUUCUGCAAUGACUUUUAAUAACUUGUUGAAGAGUUCCCUUUCUAUUAUUAUGCUGUUUGAAAUUUUUUGGCUAACUGGCCAUCCUUAAGCAUUUAUUCUUCUACAUGAACAUUCAAUAUUCCUUUUGUCAAUUUUUUUUAAAAUGUUGUUUAGAUUUUUCUUGGAAUUAUGUUACAUUUAUGUUAUUCUGGAAAUAAAGGGCAUCCUUACAAUAUUAGGGAAUUAGUGUGUUUUGCCAUUUGUUGAAGGUGUUUUUCAUGUUCUUCAGUCAUAUUUUAUAGUUCACUCCAUAAAGAUCAAGCAAUUAACUUGCCCAGUUAAUUUGAAGCUGUUUAUAAUUACUGCACAUUGUGACAGAGCUCUCCUCCUCUGCCCUGCCCUCGCUAUCCUGCUCUGAAUAUUUAUGAGUUUUAUAACUGACCAUCUUGUGGAACUCACUCACUAUUAAUACUUUUUCAGCUG